AUUGAACGCUGGCGGCAUGCUUUACACAUGCAAGUCGAACGGUAACAGGCCUUCGGGUGCUGACGAGUGGCGAACGGGUGAGUAAUGCAUCGGAACGUGCCCAGAGGUGGGGGAUAACGCAGCGAAAGCUGUGCUAAUACCGCAUGUGAUCUGAGGAUGAAAGCGGGGGACCAGGCAGCAAUGUUUGGCCUCGCGCCUUUGGAGCGGCCGAUGUCGGAUUAGGUAGUUGGUGGGGUAAAGGCCUACCAAGCCGACGAUCUGUAGCUGGUCUGAGAGGACGAUCAGCCACACUGGGACUGAGACACGGCCCAGACUCCUACGGGAGGAAGCAGUGGGGAAUUUUGGACAAUGGGCGCAAGCCUGAUCCAGCAAUGCCGCGUGCGGGAAGAAGGCCUUCGGGUUGUAAACCGCUUUUGUACGGAAAGAAAAGGCUCUGGCUAAUACCUGGGGCUGAUGACGGUACCGUAAGAAUAAGCACCGGCUAACUUCGUG
rnacentral:rRNA from 1 species